rnacentral:rRNA from 1 species
GACGAACGCUGGCGGCAUGCCUAAUACAUGCAAGUCGAACGCCAAAUCUUCCUGCUUGCAGGAAGAGGCGGAGUGGCGAACGGGUGAGUAACACGUGAGGAACUUGCCCAUAAGAGGGGGAUAACACCCGGAAACGGGUGCUAAUACCGCAUAGGUUUUCCCACCGCAUGGUGGAAAAUAAAAGGUGGCUCUGCUACCGCUUAUGGAUAGCCUCGCGGCGCAUUAGCUAGUUGGUAGGGUAAAGGCCUACCAAGGCCAUGAUGCGUAGCCGACUUGAGAGGGUGAUCGGCCACACUGGAACUGAGACACGGUCCAGACUCCUACGGGAGGCAGCAGUAGGGAAUCUUCCACAAUGGGUGCAAGCCUGAUGGAGCAAUGCCGCGUGAGUGAAGAAGGACUUCGGUUCGUAAAGCUCUGUUGUUGGGGAAGAACACGGAUAGGAGUCACUGCCUAUCCCUUGACGGUACCCAACCAGAAAGUCACGGCUAACUACGUGCCAGCAGCCGCGGUAAUACGUAGGUGACAAGCGUUGUCCGGAUUUAUUGGGCGUAAAGCGAGCGCAGGCGGUCCGGUAAGUCUGAUGUGAAAGCCCACGGCUCAACCGUGGAACGGCAUUGGAAACUGGCGGACUUGAAUGUAGCAGAGGAAAGUGGAAUUCCAUGUGUAGCGGUGGAAUGCGUAGAUAUAUGGAGGAACACCAGUGGCGAAAGCGACUUUCUGGGCUAUGAUUGACGCUGAGGCUCGAAAGCGUGGGGAGCGAACA